rnacentral:rRNA from 1 species
CCUACGGGUGGCAGCAGUGGGGGAUAUUGCACAAUGGGGGAAACCCUGAUGCAGCGACGCCGCGUGAGAGAGGAAGUACCUCGGCACGUAAAGCUCUAUCAGCAGGGAAGAAAAUAGACGGUACCGGACAAAGAAGCCCCGGCUAACUACGGGCCAGCAGCCGGGGUAAACGGUAGGGGGCAAGCGUAUGCCGGAUUUACUGGGGGUAAAGGGAGCGUAGACGGCAAGGCAAGCCAGAAGUGAAAGGGCAGGGCUCAACCCUGUACCUGCUUUUGGAACUGUGGGGCUAGAGUGCAGGAGAGGCAAGUGGAAUUCCUAGUGUAGCGGUGAAAUGCGUAGAUAUCACGAAGAACUCCGAUGGCGAAGGCAGUUCACUGGACUGCAACUGACGCUGAGGCUCGAAAGUGUGGGUAGCAAACAGGAUUAGAUACCCGGGUAGUC